rnacentral:lncRNA from 1 species
ACAAUUCAAAUUGCGAAAUAGAAUCCCAUAGCUCCAAACCCGAACUUAAAUAGAGGUAAAUCCCUUUUACUUUUUUUUUGUUUAUUUUUCAAUUUAUUUUCCUUCUUUUUUAAAUACGAACUUUUGUUUUAUUUGUUUGUAGGCUCGAUUUAGGUUCUUCAAAAUAACAAGUAGCUUUUUUUAAUUGUGUUGGUUAUAUUUGUUGAUUGGACUUUUUUCUUGUGUUGAAUUUUGUGUAUGAAUGAUUGUUUAAGAUUUGGGUUUCGAGUCUUCUACUUUGGCGGUUCAAGUAGUGGAUGCUUCUAUGUCCAAUGGUAAAGGAGGUAGACGUAGUAAUGAUGAAGGUAAAAGCGUUGGAUGGUGAUGUUGUGUAGGAGAUGGUGGUGUAGAAGGGUGAUGAGGUGUUGAGUGGCUAAGGGUUGUGUAGAAUAUAACGAUGAUCGUACGGGAUUGGAACCCAA